rnacentral:lncRNA from 1 species
AUGGCUGGUGAAGAGUCCCACUGGACUGGAACUCUUCGACCAAGAGUCCUAAUACUCGAAAACUCUGAGUCCUACAUGUCUGAAAUUUUAUGAUCGAGAAUCAGCAUUCUCUGAUCAUGAGUUCCACACAUUUUGGGUACCGGGGUCAAGAGUCCCUCUGGUUUGGGACUCUUUGAUCAAGAUUUCAUAUCGAUGGACGUUGUUGCCCGAUUGCCCAUCA